rnacentral:misc_RNA from 1 species
GAUGAAGAACGCAGCGAAACGCGAAAGGUAAUGCGAAUUGCAGAAUCAGUGAGUCAUCGAAUCUUUGAACGCACAUUGCGCCCGCUAGUAUUCUGGCGGGCAUGCCUGUCCGAGCGUCAUUUCAACCCUCAAGCCCCCGGGCUUGGUGUUGGGGAUCGGCGAGCCUCCGCGCCCGCCGUCCCCUAAAUCUAGUGGCGGUCUCGCUGUAGCUUCCUCUGCGUAGUAGCACACCUCGCACUGGGAAACAGCGCGGCCACGCCGUUAAACCCCCAACUUCUGAACGUUUGACCUCGGAUCAGGUAGGAAUACCCGCUGAACUUAAGCAUAUCAAUAAGCGGAGGA